AAGAGCAGAAUUAUACUAGUUAAAAAAACGAGUGUUUAUAAGUUACGCCAUAGGUCCCUCGCUAUUAUUGUCAUGAACUUGGGAAAAUUUCUUCUUCUCUUUGCUGUUGGGAAAUCUGCUGAGAAUGGAUCUGUUUACAUUCAAUUCAAAAUCUAACUUCAUUUUUAUUGACCAUAUUGACAUUUCUUUUCUUUUUCAUCAAGUUACCCUACCGAACAGGACAACAAACAUGACAAGCACGUCAAAUGGUGGAACAAAGUAAGGAGUGUCUCAUCCAAAUCAGCAAAUUUAAAUUUUCUCUUGUGAUAUCAGGACUUACAAAGAUUUUACAGAGGGUCAAUGAAUCAGUAAGUUUGACAGAUUCUAAAUAUCACCAAGCUCAGAAAACAAGCAAAGAAAUCAUGUUAAUAUGUCUAUUUCGAACAGAGAACACAUGGUCCUGACUAUGAGAAAAAUUAUUAUGAAUCAUUGCUAAUUGUAUUAGAAACUUUAGAGAAAUUCCUAAGUGGCCAACCAAAAGAUACAACAAGAUUUGAUGAAGCCAUGAAUGUUAAACUGUUACUGCGAUAAAUCUGCCAAUUAAUUGUUUUGCCAAAUGAAAAUCCACACUCACCACCAACUUUUCACUAUGUCCUUGUUGCUUCCCUCUACAGAAUUAUCACACAACAACUCUUUCAUCCAUCAUGGACAUAUGUGCAGUUAUGCCAGAGUUUGACACUAAAAGAAAAAGUAAAUCCACUGAAGAACUUCAAGGAGAAAGCGUCGGUUCUUACAAAAACUUGUUAUUGUCCAUGGUCCGAUUGAUUCACGCUAAUCCACUGCUCAUGUUAAACAACCAAGGGAAAGCUGGACACGAAUUUCAGAACUCUACACUAGAAUGAAUCAAUGGUCUAUUCUCGCUGGUUCAUCAACCUAAUAUGACUGACAUGGCACAGGAGGCCAUGGACGCUUUACUAGUGCUUCAUCAGCCAGAAAAGAUUGAAAUGUGGAAUCCCACGUCCAGUUUUAUCAUCAACGUCUAACCCUUCAGGAGGAGUAAUUGAUCGCAAAUCUAAUCUUGUGGUGAACAAUUUAAGUCAAAUGCAAGAUAAUAAUCAGUACUGCCCAGUGACUUCGUUUGUGGGACAUCUCUGCGGCAGUUGUUGUGUGCCAACGAAAAAUUAGGCAGAAAAAUCCUUGAAGACGUUUGGACUAAAUUAAACUAUAAAUGAUGUCCUACUGUAUUUCUUUUGUUUGAAUACAUAUU